rnacentral:rRNA from 1 species
UACGAAGGGGGCUAGCGUUGUUCGGAAUUACUGGGCGUAAAGCGCGCGCAGGUGGUCUUUCAAGUCAGUGGUGAAAGCCCGGAGCUCAACUCCGGAACUGCCAUUGAAACUGUUAGACUUGAGGAUGAGAGAGGUGAGUGGAAUUCCCAGUGUAGAGGUGAAAUUCGUAGAUAUUGGGAAGAACACCGGUGGCGAAGGCGGCUCACUGGCUCAUAUCUGACGCUCAGGCGCGACAGCGUGGGGAUCAAACAGG